ACGCUGGCGGCGUGCCUAACACAUGCAAGUCGAACGAGAAGUUCGCUAAUGAUUCCUUCGGGAUGAAUUAGUGAAUGGACAGUGGCGGACGGGCGAGUAACGCGUGAGUAACCUGCCCAUAAGAGAGGGAUAGCCCUUGGAAACGAGGAGUAAUACCUCAUAUUGUAUAUUCUUCGCAUGUUGAAUAUAUGAAAGAUUUAUCGCUUAUGGAUGGACUCGCGUCAGAUUAGCUAGUUGGUGAGGUAACGGCUCACCAAGGCGACGAUGCGUAGCCGACCUGAGAGGGUGAUCGGCCACAUUGGGACUGAGACACGGCCCAGACUCCUACGGGAGGCAGCAGUGGGGAAUAUUGCACAAUGGGCGAAAGCCUGAUGCAGCAACGCCGCGUGAGGGAAGACGGUUUCGGAUUGUAAACCUCUGUCUUUGGUGAAGAAGAAAGUGACGGUAGCCAAGGAGGAAGCCACGGCUAACUACGUG
rnacentral:rRNA from 1 species